rnacentral:rRNA from 1 species
CCUACGGGUGGCAGCAGUGAGGAAUAUUGGUCAAUGGACGAGAGUCUGAACCAGCCAAGUAGCGUGAAGGAUGACUGCCCUAUGGGUUGUAAACUUCUUUUAUAUGGGAAUAAAAUGUUCCACGUGUGGGAUUUUGUAUGUACCAUAUGAAUAAGGAUCGGCUAACUCCGUGCCAGCAGCCGCGGUAAUACGGAGGAUCCGAGCGUUAUCCGGAUUUAUUGGGUUUAAAGGGAGCGUAGGUGGAUUGUUAAGUCAGUUGUGAAAGUUUGCGGCUCAACCGUAAAAUUGCAGUUGAAACUGGCAGUCUUGAGUACAGUAGAGGUGGGCUGAAGUCGUGGUGUAGCGGUGAAAUGCUUAGAUAUCACGAAGAACUCCGAUUGCGAAGGCAGUUCACUGGACUGCAACUGACACUGAGGCUCGAAAGUGUGGGUAUCAAACAGGAUUAGAUACCCGAGUAGUC